GUGGAAUGGCCCCAAGGAACAAGAGUGAGGGACAGGGAAAGAGGGAAAGCUGAUCCAAGCGCAUCAUUAUUAUAGGUACCUGGGGCUUGACAUCACUGGGGACUUUCUGUAAAAGCGUCUCAGAAUUGGCUGCCCACAGAAUGGGAGAGGACUGUAUUUAUCCAAGGCUCCCAGCCUGAAUCUGUCAAGGGCUGCCCUCGGGGUGUUUGCAUGGACAUCAGAAUGCAGAAGGCGGCAGAGAGUUCCCUCAGCACCGGCAGCCAGCCACAAAGAAGCACCAGGGCCAGAGUGAGAGAUGCUCCUGCAGCUGAGGUGCUGAAUGGCUUCCUUUGUAGCCCAGGAGCUCUAGCACUUGCAAAUCCUCUGCAGCGGGCACUUCAAGCCAGGAUCUUUUUGGCUUCAAACUCUUCCAGGUUGGAUGGAGGAAAGAAAUAUUUAUGAGAUUUGCUCUCUGCCUCGGGAAGAAACAAACCCAUAAUCACUACUCUGUGUUCUGAGUGUGACCCUCGAGAGAAAAACAAACUGCAUGUGCAUGCACAGUCGCAGGGGCACAACUGCCUACACCCGCAGAGGGGAGGAAGACUUCUGUAUCAGAUGAAGAAGAUGGGACAGAGAGAGCAGCAGGCUGUUUCUUCACGCUGUGUCCUCCUCUCCAGUUGAAGAACCCCUCCUGAGACCCCUUGAGGGGAUGGAAGAGAUGCCUCACACUAGGGGAAGUCUUGUUCGAGCAGCUGUCUGGAGAAGCCGACAUGGCAGGCAACCGAGGUUUCCUGCCAACAGCCACCUGAAUUGAGCUUGGAAGUCUUCAGCGACUGCAACCUUGGCCAGCAACUUGACUGCAGCCUUCCCCACGAUACUCCUGAGCCAGAAGCACCCAGAUUCCUGACCCUCAGAAGCCGUGUGUGAUGAUAAAUGUCUGUUGUGGUUUUUUUGUUUGUUUGUUUUGAGACAGAGUCUCACUCU